rnacentral:rRNA from 1 species
AGUAAAAGUCGUAACAAGGUUUCCGUAGGUGAACCUGCGGAAGGAUCAUUAUCGAGUUUUGAAAGGGGUUGUAGCUGGCCUUCCGAGGCAUGUGCACGCCCUGCUCAUCCACUCUAACACCUGUGCACCUCUUGUGGGCUCAUGGAGGGCAACCUCCUGGCCUGCGUCUCACACACACGCUUAAAGUAUAAGAAUGUAUAACCGCAUUGUAUGAUGCAUUAUUAAUACAACUUUCAACAACGGAUCUCUUGGCUCUCGCAUCGAUGAAGAACGCAGCGAAAUGCGAUAAGUAAUGUGAAUUGCAGAAUUCAGUGAAUCAUCGAAUCUUUGAACGCACCUUGCGCUCCUUGGUAUUCCGAGGAGCAUGCCUGUUUGAGUGUCAUGAAGUUCUCAACUCUAAGAGCAUUUGUUUGUUCUCUGAGCUUGGAAUUGGAGGCUUGCUGGCGAUGGCCAGCUCCUCUCAAAUUUAUUAGCUGGGCUGUGCUCGAGAGAAAACAGUCGGUGUGAUAAUUAUCUGCGCCGUCACUGAAGUAUCUCGGAUCCCGCUUCUAAUCGUCCCUCGGGACAAUCUACUCUGACAUCUGACCUCAAAUCAGGUAGGAUUACCCGCUGAACUUAAGCAUAUCAAUAAGCGGAGGA